CCUACGGGUGGCAGCAGUCGAGAAUCAUUCACAAUGGGGGAAACCCUGAUGGUGCGACGCCGCGUGGGGGAAUGAAGGUCUUCGGAUUGUAAACCCCUGUCAUGUGGGAGCAAAUUAAAAAGAUAGUACCACAAGAGGAAGAGACGGCUAACUCUGUGCCAGCAGCCGCGGUAAUACAGAGGUCUCAAGAGUUGUUCGGAAUCACUGGGCGUAAGGGGUGCGUAGGCUGUUUCGUAAGUCGUGUGUGAAAGGCGCGGGCUCAACCCGCGGAAUGCACAUGAUACUGGGAGACUAGAGUAAUGGAGGGGGAACCGGAAUGCUCGGUGUAGCAGUGAAAUGCGUAGAUAUCGAGAGGAACACUCGUGGCGAAGGCGGGUUCCUGGACAUUAACUGACGCUGAGGCACGAAGGCCAGGGGAGCGAAAGGGAUUAGAUACCCCUGUAGUC
rnacentral:rRNA from 1 species